GAGCUCUCCCUGCUGGCUGAGGUCCCCUCCUGGGGUCUCCGACCCACUUGACUGCACCCUGACAGAUCAGGCCUUUUGUGACACUGACCACAAACGAUGCCUAUGCCAAAGGCGCACUGGUCCUGGGCUCGUCUUCGAGACAACAGACAACACAGGACAGCCAGGAGGAUGGUUUUAUUCACCAGCCCUCAGGUCUCAGAUUCCAUGAGAAAAGUUUUAGACUGUCUUUGAUGACGUCAUCAUGGUAGACAUCUUAGACAGUGGCAAUUCUGCUCAUCUAACUUUAAUGAAGAGGCCUGAGUUGGGUGUCAUACUGAGGAAACGCCUCGGCUGGGCACUUACACAGUAUUCCAAAUGUGUGUUCCUGGAUGCAAAUACUCUGGUCCUCACAAAUAUUGAUGAUCUUUUUGAAAGAGAAGAAUUGUCAGCAGCAUCAGACGCAGGGUGGCCAGGCUGCUUCAAUUCUGGAGUCUUUGUCUAUCAGCCCUCAGUUGAAAUGUAUAACCAGCCAUUGCACCUUCCUUUUGAGCAAGGUGGUUUUGAUGGUGGGGACCAGAGCUUACUGAGUAUAUAUUUUAGUGGCUGGGUGGCAACAGAUAUCAGGAAACACCUGCCGUUUGUGUAUAACACGAGUGGCAUCUCAAUAUACUCCUACAUCCUGAUGUUUGAAGUGAUUAGUGCAAAUGCCAAAGUCAUGCACUUCUUCGGAUGAAUCAGGCCAUGGAAUUAUACCCACAGUCCCCAAACAAAAAGGGUCAAAUGUGAAUCCCAGGACCCCACCGUGAGUCACCCAGAGUUUCUGAUGCUAUGGUGAGACAUCUUCAUCACCAGUGUUUUACCCCUCCAACACUAUGGCCUUGUCAAAAACGACUGCCCAUAUCUAGUAUCUCAGGAGCCUUCUCACGCCUUCUCUUGGGGUGGGCCCAGCUACACCACAACUUUCUGUGUUCUCAGAAGGCAGGAGCAGUGGGAGCAGGGCCAGGCUGAAUACACGGGAGCAGAUUCUUAUGAUAACAUCAAGAGAACACUUGACACUUACCUACAGUAGAUGCACUGCCACGUUCCUGGGGACACAUCCACGUCAUAGGCACGUUUCUGAUACGUAGUUUGUGAAGCGGGUGGAAAAGUCUGUUACAGUCACUAGAGCCUUUCCCUAAAACUCACCAAAUGAGGGGUUUUGGCAGGAUGACAGGUAAGACCCAGGGAAACAUUAUGAAGUAGUAAUCCUGUUACAUGGAGAGGUGCUCUGUUUAAGUCUAGACUUUUUCAGGAACUCUUCAUUCUGCAGUUGCCACCACGUAUGGUAAAGAAAAGCCCCCACUAAGUUGGCUCUCGAGUGGUGCAGAACUGACUGUUUAUUUCCUUCAAAACAGAAUGUGACAUUGUCCCGUAUUUGCAUGUUGUACCCUUUACUAGACCUGCACUUCAGAAUUGCCCAAAGCUUGUCAGGGAAGUAAUUCCACUUCCAGGGGAAAUUGGCCUUCAUUAACACUGUGGACUGAUUCAUAAGCCUGCCCGCCAGUGUUAGUUCACCAGUUUCUAUGCACCUCGAAGGCAGCAUGCUGACUCGCUUUCGGUCACUUCUGUCUACUAGACAAUUGCAAUGUGGUCU